UACGUAGGGUCCGAGCGUUGUCCGGAUUUAUUGGGCGUAAAGAGCUCGUAGGCGGUUCGACAAGUCGGGUGUGAAAACUCCGGGCUCAACCCGGAGACGCCACCCGAUACUGUCGUGACUGGAGUCCGGUAGGGGAGUGGGGAAUUCCUGGUGUAGCGGUGAAAUGCGCAGAUAUCAGGAGGAACACCGGUGGCGAAGGCGCCACUCUGGGCCGGUACUGACGCUGAGGAGCGAAAGCGUGGGUAGCAAACAGG
rnacentral:rRNA from 1 species